CCUGACUCCCAGGAUCAGACGUCAGAAUGACUUGGGAAUUUUGUUGCUAGCUGCCUCCUGACACCUCAUGGUCACCCGAGAUCUGCAAGGCCCUGUCUGUCGUCUCCGCACAGCCUCCACCAGCAGACAUCUAAAGAUCUCCAUGAAGAUGAGGUGUCUCAUCAGAGUUGUUGGGACUUACCCACAGAGGGGUCCCUAAAACCAAGGGACAUAGGGUGGUGUUAAGAUGCCUAAGUCCAAUGCCCCCCACUUCAUA
rnacentral:lncRNA from 1 species